rnacentral:rRNA from 1 species
CAGUCGCCGCGGUAAUGCGUAGGGGGCAAGCGUUAUCCGGAUUUACUGGGUGUAAAGGGAGCGCAGGCGGUGCGGCAAGUCUGAUGUGAAAGCCCGGGGCUCAACCCCGGGACUGCAUUGGAAACUGUCGUACUUGAGUAUCGGAGAGGUAAGUGGAAUUCCUAGUGUAGCGGUGAAAUGCGUAGAUAUUAGGAGGAACACCAGUGGCGAAGGCGGCUUACUGGACGAUAACUGACGCUGAGGCUCGAAAGCGUGGGGAGCAAACAGGAUUAGAUACCCCAGUAGUCCCUGUCUCUUAUAC